rnacentral:lncRNA from 1 species
AUGCCGUUCACCGUAAAUAACACUGAAGAAGAAGAAGAAGAAGAAGAAAAUCGUAAUUUGGCUGGCAGUGACUGGGGAGCAGAUAGGUUAACUCUGAUUAUGAUUUAUAGAGUAAUGAUAAGAUCUGCAUUGGACUAUGGUUGUUUUGUAUUUGGGGCUGUGUUACAAAAGCUGGACAGAGUUCAAGCAAAAGCCUUAAGAGUGUGCAGUGGAGCUUUUAGAACCACGCCCAUACCUGCACUGUUGGUUGAAAUGGGGGAAACAUCUUUAAAAAUUAGAAGGCAGAAGCUGGGGCUCCAGUACUGGACCAGACUAGCAGGACUGCAGCAUAAAUCUGCGGCCAACUGCCUCUUGGAGGAUUGUUGGGAGUUUGCAAAAAGGGAGAGAAAAGCGCAUUUUCUGAGACAUAUUUGUCAGCUGGCUGGUAACGUGGGUUUGGAGAAUGGGAGUGUUGCUGAGUUAAUGUGGUCCCCUGUCCCAUUCUGGCUUUUGCCAGAGCCGGACGUUCAAUUGGGCAUGCUGGGGCUGGAUAAGAGUUUUGUUUGUGGCCAAGUAAAUGAAUUUGUGGCUCUAAAUAAAGAAACGGCUUGUCACAUUUUAACAGAUGGGUCUAAGGAUCCGAGAUCAGGAAAAGCCGAUCUUGGAGUCUACAUUAUGAAUAAUGAAAUUGGGAAAAGUAUGCUUGUAUCUGAUUAUGUAUCUGUGUUCACGACUGAGUUGUUAGCCAUUAGGUGGGCUUUAGAUUGGAUUGAACGAAAUAAACCUGAGAUGUCGUAUAUAUAUUCGGAUUCCAUGGCUGCCUUACAGGCAAUUUCUGACCAUCCCUCUGGGGCUAGGAUAGAUACUGUGGUAGAGAUUUUGUGUUGCCUUCACCGGAUAGAGUUGAUGGGGUCUAGUAUUGUUUUUUCCUGGAUCCCAUCUCAUUCAGGUAUUGUGGGCAAUGAAGCUGCUGAUAGGCUAGCAAAGAAGGCUCUUCUCGAGACGGAAAUUGAAUAUGUGGUCCGAUUGGGGAAGGCUGAGUGUGUCAGUGUUUUCAAAGCUACUGUGUAUCAGCAAUGGCAAAGGGAGUGGGAGAAUGAGUAUAUUUUAAGUGUCAACCUUGUGUGCAGGGCACUAGACUCCUGUGGGCAACUUGCCGAUCAAAUCAAGUUAGGAUAA